AUGCUUCGGCAGCACAUACACUAAAAUUGGAACGAUACAGAGAAGAUUAGCAUGCCCCCUGCGCAAAGAUGACAUGCAAAAGUGUGAAGCAUUCCAUAUUUUU